AAAAAAAAAAAAGUGCAUCUAACCUUAAGGCUUUCGAUUGACAUCCUUAAACACAGCAUCACUGCUUCCUGCUCCUCUCGUAAAAGAGAGAUAGAGGGACCGGUAGUCUGGGUUGGCUCAAUCAAUUGCCAGAAAAGUUUCAAAAGAGCCAUAUCAGCAAAGUUAGAUGUAUUGAGCAAUAUGGAUUGGCACAAUACGUAAGUGUAUUAUAAAAAUAUUUACAGACGUAUAUUUAGUUCUACAUCAUCUUUAUACCAGAUAGAUUGUAGAUACUUAUAUAAAGCUAAAGAAUCUAAAUAAUAUCUUCUGGAUAAGUUUUUGGGAUGAAAUCUUGAGUUGUGACAAGAGAAACCUGGCCAAUAACCUAUAUAAACUAGAGAACACUGUAGCACAUAUUUAUGGAGAUUGACCAUGGGAUGAUCAUGAUAUUUAUGGUUAGAUUUGAAUCUUUAAUCUGACAAGUAUACCGGAGUUUAAAUAAGAGAAAUAUGUGAGGAUCUGUACUGAUGCAGGAGAUCCUAGAUUGUAAUUUGUAUAUAAAAUAAUAACAAAAAAAAUCAGGAUGGAAACCUAAAUCCCCCCACCCUCUCUAGUCGCUGGGUAGAAACCCAAACAUCUCAUACGUGUGUAUAUUAGAGAUAAAAAACACAGUUCAUAUGAGACGCUGGGAAGACCAGCCAUCGUAUGGAUUUGGCCCUUCCUAUUUUAUCCAUGAUCGAACUCACACUUUCUCAAGGUUCCUCUGACUUGAAUUGGACUGUGUGAUUAGUCUACUUAACUGAGAUGCACAUAAAAGAAGGAAUAGUGUUUACGGUUUUUCCAUCUCAUUAGAAAUAUUUUUCAAUUUAUAUCAUACUUAAAUGAGAACGUCAAGUUGCAACUCCACUCCUGAAGUUCAACCCCAUCCCAACUUUUUUUUGUUUGUGUUUUGUUGUGAAAAUAAAGGAUCUCGGACUUAGUCCCAUAUCGACUAGAUAGCGGAAAGGUAUGUUUCUUAAAUGGAGGGGCGCGACCCCUUUAUCUUCAGAGGCGCCUUUUAAAGGGCAAAAUCGUGAGAAAGGUUUCGACCUGCUCCAAAGCAGAACAAUACCUCUAAGGAGAAGCAGUUGC
rnacentral:lncRNA from 1 species